GGGUAUGAAAGCCAUCAGACUGUCACAUUUUUCACCCCAUUGAUAGCUGGGGUUGAUUCAUCUAGGUGAGGGUCCCCUUCCUUCCUCACUGAUCCAUGCGCAUCCCUCCCGAAGCUGUGUGAAUUUGAAGAGGAAAACCUUCUAGAACGUUGGUCUUCUUGAGGGUCUCCUAGAGGGUAAUCCAGCAGAACUCUCCUGCUAAACCCUCCAAAUAAGCUCUAGGGUGGUAGCUCAGCGGGAGAGUGCAUGUGUAGAGA
rnacentral:snRNA from 1 species